CAUCUGUGCUUCGAUACCGUAGCAAUUUUCGACGAAAAUUAAUCAAUCUGUACACGAUGAUUAAUAUAAAAAAAUAACGCGAGGUGUAAAUUCUCUUUGCUCGUACCGGGUGUAAACUCGAAGUUUGCAAAUUGAGUGGUCGCGAGGGACGAUAGGAUUAUAGUAGCUCGUGUUGCACACAGUCGUCUCUAAUAAAAUUGUCCCUGCAGGCUGGUUCCCGCUGUCACGUGAAAGCGUCCUGAUUGUAUGCGCGAAAUAGCGCUAAGUAAUCCUAGUGUAAUUUCGUUGGCGUUGCGAUCUGUUCGUUGUGACCAUCUGGCAUGAUCGCGCGAUAGAAUGGGACACAGUUGUGCACAACGAAAAGGAGGGAGAGCCAGCCCUCACUGCGUCGGGAUAACUUCCGCAAUUUAGCGCGGGACGACGGUUUCAAAGUUCUUUUAGGGGAUGAAAGCCCAUGAUGUGCCUUCAAAAAAAAAAAAA